CGAGUUCAAGCAAUUCUCCUGCCUCAGCCUCCCAAGUAGCUGGGAUUACAGAUUCCAUUGGCCGUGACAUCCCCAAAAUGCUUGAAUUAUUUAAAAAUGGACAUGAAAUUAAGGUAGAUGAAGAAAGGGAGAACUUUCUCCAGACCAAAAUAGCAACAUUGGAUAUGUCAAGUGACCAGAUAGCUGCCAAUCUGCAAGCAGUUAUUAAUGAAGUUUGUAGGCACAGACCGCUGAAUUUGGGUCCCUUUGUGGUACAUGCUUUCCUUCGUAGUUCAACAAGUGAAGGUUUAUUACUGAAGAUUGAUCCAUUGUUGCCUAAAGAAGUAAAAAAUGAAGAAAGUGAAAAAGAAGAUGCCUAAAUGUGGUGAAUUGUGAAAUUACUUUCAGUGGUUUAAGAAGCAAUGGAGAAAAUGAUAAAACUGCAUAAUUUUUACAUUUGAUGUCUUGUUAUUGAUCAUACUUGAAAGUGAACUUUAACAUUGAAAAAUCGUACAGUCAUUUCAAGAAUAAGAAAAUAAAAUUUUCUCUUUGUCUG
rnacentral:sRNA from 1 species